UACGAAGGGGGCGAGCGUUGUUCGGAAUUACUGGGCGUAAAGGGCGCGCAGGCGGCUCUGAAAGUCAGAUGUGAAAGCCCCGGGCUUAACCUGGGAAUUGCAUUUGAUACUCUGGAGCUUGAGUACGGGAGAGGAGAGUGGAAUUCCUGGUGUAGCGGUGAAAUGCGUAGAUAUCAGGAGGAACACCGGUGGUGUAGACGGCUUUCUGGACCGUAACUGACGCUGAGACACGAAAGCGUGGGUAGCAAACAGG
rnacentral:rRNA from 1 species